CACUGACUAGGCUUAACAGGGCUGAAAUGAUCGCCCAUAGUUGCUGUAUUUCUCGUGCAGAGACAGCUGGCCUGCAAUUUGAAUCUAGACCGCUCUUUUGGUUGGGGUCAGUUGCAUAUGCAAAUAGCCCUAGUUCUUUUUGUAAUGGCUCAAGAUGAGCUAAAACCAGCUUGACAGCUGAGCGGGACCACUGAAGGGCAGGCUACUUGAG